rnacentral:rRNA from 1 species
UACGAAGGGUGCAAGCGUUGUUCGGAAUCACUGGGCGUAAAGAAUGCGUAGGCGGCUUAACAAGUCGGAAGUGAAAUCCCAGGGCUCAACCCUGGAACUGCUUUCGAAACUGUUUUGCUAGAGUCCCGGAGGGGUUAGCGGAAUUCCGAGUGUAGAGGUGAAAUUCGCAGAUAUUCGGAGGAACACCAGUGGCGAAGGCGGCUAACUGGACGGGAACUGACGCUGAGGCAUGAAAGUGUGGGGAUCAAACAGG